UCCGCAGUGGGAGAACUAAGCCUGAAGCUGAUCUCUCAGACACACUAUCCACCAGAUGUGUAUGAACGUGCGUGGGAAGCCAGCUUCCUAGGGAGAUGACCUUGGAGUCUUUUUCUAGCCUGAUUCAAGGCGUGCCACUGUCCUGUGGAUCCUUAAAACCCUCUAUCUUAGGAGACCCACCUGGAAAACGCUUGUGACAGUAUCCAUGCAUUUUGGGAGUCAAGCCCAGGGCCUUAUGUAUGCAAGAGAAGCAUUCUACCAACUGUGUUACUGUCUCUGCCCCAAAUGAUUAUAUGGAGUCCUUUGAGCCAGAAUUGAAGCAGCCACCUGAGGGCUGACAUGCCCUGCCCACAACAGUCUCUCUACCAUCGGACUUACUGAAGACUCACUCUCCUCCCAGCAAACUUCGGAAUGGCUCCUUUUGAAGGAAGUGGUCCAUGAAGCCUGAUAGGCGAUAUGCCUAUCUAGUAAUCACUCCUGAAUGGUUGGCACAGAGAGAAGCUAAAUCUGCUUAUGUGUGAAACCCGAGCAACUGCAGCUUGGUAAGAACAGAUGCAUGGAAAAGCAUCCCAAAGGGCCCAGGCACGCCUACAAUGAUGGAGGACGGGGCAAGUGUGACUGACAGCAUGAUCCGGAUUCUCGUGCCCCACAGAAGAAAGGCAGGCUCCAGUUCUCCAAAUCACCUUCCAUGGCAGAGAUUUACCCAGCACCAAGCCUUCACAUCCAGUCUAUGCUGAUACUCUUUGAUACUCGGAUGAACUAUAGUGUUGCCAUUGGCAACCCUGUGACUGCAUGCUGGGCAUCCCGUUAUGCCCAAUAAAAUUAAUACUGACUGCA